rnacentral:rRNA from 1 species
GAUGAACGCUGGCGGCGUGCCUAAUACAUGCAAGUCGAGCGAACAGACGAGGAGCUUGCUCCUCUGACGUUAGCGGCGGACGGGUGAGUAACACGUGGAUAACCUACCUAUGAGACUGGGAUAACUUCGGGAAACCGGAGCUAAUACCGGAUAAUAUAUUGAACCGCAUGGUUCAAUAGUGAAAGACGGUCUUGCUGUCACUUAUAGAUGGAUCCGCGCCGCAUUAGCUAGUUGGUAAGGUAACGGCUUACCAAGGCAACGAUGCGUAGCCGACCUGAGAGGGUGAUCGGCCACACUGGAACUGAGACACGGUCCAGACUCCUACGGGAGGCAGCAGUAGGGAAUCUUCCGCAAUGGGCGAAAGCCUGACGGAGCAACGCCGCGUGAGUGAUGAAGGUCUUCGGAUCGUAAAACUCUGUUAUUAGGGAAGAACAAAUGUGUAAGUAACUAUGCACGUCUUGACGGUACCUAAUCAGAAAGCCACGGCUAACUACGUG